UGUCUAUACAAAAAUUUGUUAGUAUAAAAUCUCUAAAGAACUUAUGAAGUGCAAAUAAAGAACUAAAAUCAAUUUGUGUCGCGAAAUUCACAGUAUUCAUAUUUCUGCCCUACCUUUUCAUUUCCUUUUCUUGGCGAAUGUGCCGUUCACGAUCUGCCUUCAUAGCCUCCGGACUGUAAAACGUUAGCCAAUAUUCCAUACUUUGGUU